GGCAUUGACGAUUAUUGCGGAGGCACCAAAGCGUUUUGGGCGGUCUAAUGUAAAGAAGAAGUUAGUAUAGGAAGAAUACUCAAGAGGAUGUGAACACAAGGUUACCUGAAUUGCUUCUAAUAGCAGUGACGCAACGGCCGCUCCAGCUUCUGUAGCAGCUUGGGGAUUGACCUCCUCGAUAAUCGGGAGGAUCGGUGCAGCCAAAGUUUCCGCCGAUGCCGCAUCAGAUUCAACGACCGAUUCCAUGCGGGCACGCACUCAGUGGCUUGUCUUCUUGAUGGUUUUCUUCGGCGUUUGCUUUAGUCGGCCGGUGGUGAUAUCAUCAAUGGAUGGGGCGUCAUGGCCGAUGAGUGGGAAUUCCGUAUACGGGUAACGGUUCUCUAUCGGCCUGCCGCUCCGGCUGCGUUUUGGGGGAAGUUGACUCCCGGACUGUAAAAGAAAGCAAGAGUUAGCGGCAAAUUUGCAGCAUAAGAGAGAAAAUAACAUCAAAAUCGGCUGAAGAAAAAGCAGUACCUCUGCACUCGGGUCAAUGUUCUCAGGAUCCAGAUCAUUGCAAUAUGUCGCGGGGGAUGCACAAAAUAGGUGUUGCUUCCAUUCUGCCCACCAUAAUUUGAAUGGUUGGAUAGCAAAAGGAGCUACUAUCCAACUGUUCAGAUCGAUGGUGC
rnacentral:lncRNA from 1 species